UACGAAGGGGGCUAGCGUUGUUCGGAAUCACUGGGCGUAAAGCGCACGUAGGCGGAUUGUUAAGUCGGGGGUGAAAUCCUGAGGCUCAACCUCAGAACUGCCUUCGAUACUGGCAAUCUCGAGUCCGGAAGAGGUUGGUGGAACAGCUAGUGUAGAGGUGAAAUUCGUAGAUAUUAGCUAGAACACCAGUGGCGAAGGCGGCCAACUGGUCCGGUACUGACGCUGAGGUGCGAAAGCGUGGGAGCAAACAGG
rnacentral:rRNA from 1 species